rnacentral:lncRNA from 1 species
GAGACUGUUUAGACACUACUUUAGAAAAGGCAUUUUUUUUGGUGUUGCUACUAGGAAAUUGUGUGUGUGUGUGUGUGUGUGUGUGUGUGUGUGUGUGUGUGUGUUUUCAGUGUCUCUAGCAGCUGAAAGUAUGCAAGAGCUAAAAUGCAGCUACAGCUGGAGCUAACUCCCAUUCAUUCAUCAUUGUCACUUCACGAAUUAGGAGCCAGCAGACCAUUUCUCUCACUUUACUUCAGCUCCUUUUCAGAACGAGUGCAGAUUCAGAGAAGAAGGUGGAGCAAGAUGGCAGAAUAAUUGUCCCUCCAAUAAGGACAUCAAGUUAACGACUACCUACACAGAAAAACAGCUUCAUAAGAACGAAAAUCAGAACUAAUUCGACUGUUGAUGCCCAUCGGACAAAUACUAUCAGGAACACAGAGCCUCCCUCUGACGAACUCUUCUGGCUAUUCAGCUUUUUUUGUGUCAAGUGCAUGAGUCUCCCCUCUUCUCUCUGCCCUUCAGGAGUCCUCAUCAUCUUAAUUGUGUGACAUGGACCUGUGCAGUGAAGCCAGCAAAUUGUGCUUGAGAUGGAACUUUACCUCCCAAAGCAACUGCAGGUUCAUCAAUUAGCCAAGUUGCCACUCAAAUGGAUAGGUAUGUGAAACAAUGUACAGAGGUUAAAAGAGCUGGAGGAUUUUUGAAUACUCUUCUUAUGGUGGAAUGGAAGUUUCUUAUCUUAUGAAGAAAUGUGACAAGUGAGUAUUCACAUUUCUUUUCAG